rnacentral:tRNA from 1 species
GGAAAAUUAGUUAAUAUAAUAAUACUUGUUUGUCAAGCAAGAGUUACUACUUUAGUAGUAUUUU